rnacentral:misc_RNA from 1 species
AACCAUAGAAACCUGCGGAGUACCUGCGGAGGGAUCAUUAUAGUAUAUGGAAUCUCCAUUCUAUAAACCCACUCUGCGUAUCUUGUAACUGUUGCUUCCAUGGGACUUGGUUCCGCCACACCGGCUUCACGGCUGGUGAGCGCCCAUGGAAGGAGAAACAAAACUCUUCUUUGAAAUGUAGUCAGUCCGAACAAGUUUUUAUAAACGUUAAAACUUUUAACAAUGGAUCUCAGAUCGGAA